rnacentral:lncRNA from 1 species
CUUAUGUCUGUACUAAUGCUAAAAAAACAGUUUUUUAACAUGCAUUUACAUGGAAUGAGAUCCAAGGCCAUACCGAAAUAGCCACACUGAGUCAACAUGAACAACACGAACUGCAAACACUUGUUUAUUACCAGUUUACCACGAUACAUAGAUAGCCUUAAGGAUAAUUUAGUCAAGCACCUUUCAGUACCGACCCAUAGAACCAAUCAAGGCGGGUAACAAAGACCCUUCAGCAUGCAAUAGGAGCUCCUCCUGGAGGGUUUCCAUUGCCAUCGUCAUCGUCGUCAUCGUCCUUGUGAAACUUCAACACUGCACCUAAUAUUGGACUAAACCUAGUCCUCUUGUUUUUCUUCUUGGGUGGUUGUUGUUUCUUUUGUUGAAGAAGCUGCAAAAGUGGAUUCCUUAAUCUUGAGAAAAUUAAUUGGAUCCACACAUAUACACAGACUAUGAUAUCUGUACGAAUAAACUAAGUUCCAAAAAAUUAACUAGUGGAGAAUAUAUACAAGGCUUACCUUGUUAAAUGCUGCUCUCAUUUCACUGCUAAUCAUAUCUUUGUUUGCCUUAGCAUACUCCAUUAGUUCUUUUGCAUUCAUGGUCUCCAGCCUUGCCAGCUGCCAACAAUGUCAUUGUAUACAGAAAUUAUGAGCAAGUAUAUACGAUACAGUUGUGCUAAAAUAAUAACUUAAAUAUGUGUUCUUCUGAUUGCUAGCUAGGAAAAAGUGCUGCCUCGCUCGAACGGUAUUUGUGAAACAACGAGAUCGUAAACAAUUAAACAUUGAGACACUCCCCACAGUAACGAAGGUACAAACAUCAACAUUGAUUAUAUAUCAUGAUGCCAUUUACCCAUGCUUUGAAUUCCUUGAUGUGCCCCCUUACUGAAUUAUCUCCAUUAUCACCUGCAGCCAUAUCAAAAUACAGGAUGAUCAAUGUUUAGGUGAGGGCUUGUUG